CUGUCAAUCUCAAUCUUGUUAGUAAGCACAAACAGGCGCCACUGUUACGUUACAUUAUCUAGAUGGACAAGUACAUGACUGCUCCAGUCCUAUUCUCUCUACUUCUUCUCGUAUGCCUUGCUACUACUACACAAUGUCAAAUCACCGACGACAUGGAUAAUGAUCUGAUCAAUUUACCAGGCGGGUUGUGCGUCAAUAGAGAUGGCAUCUAUUGUUGCCUUGUGACAAAUAGGUGCUAUUCCCCACAGGAAUUAUGUGUUCAGGCAUGCAAAAGUGCACUCCUAUCAAAUUGAACUUUUGUUCGAAGAAGUAAUAUGUGAUGCGGAA